UACGUAGGGUGCGAGCGUUGUCCGGAAUUAUUGGGCGUAAAGAGCUCGUAGGCGGUUUGUCGCGUCGGGAGUGAAAUCCACUGGCUUAACUGGUGGCUUGCUUUCGAUACGGGCAGACUAGAGGUAUGCAGGGGAGAACGGAAUUCCUGGUGUAGCGGUGAAAUGCGCAGAUAUCAGGAGGAACACCGGUGGCGAAGGCGGUUCUCUGGGCAUGAUCUGACGCUGAGGAGCGAAAGUGUGGGGAGCGAACAGG
rnacentral:rRNA from 1 species